rnacentral:rRNA from 1 species
AGAGUUUGAUCCUGGCUCAGGACAAACGCUGGCGGCAUGCCUAACACAUGCAAGUCGAACGGACAGAACAGGGAAGCUUUUCGGAGUGGAACUGGAAAGUUAGUGGCGGAUGGGUGAGUAACGCGUGGACAACCUACCUUGUAAAGGGGAAUAACCUCGAGAAAUCGAAGCUAAUACCCCAUAAUAACCUUGCUUCGCAUGAAGUAAGGAGGAAAGGCGGCCUUAGCGCUGUCGAUACAAGAUGGGUCCGCGUCUGAUUAGCUAGUUGGUGAGGUAAAGGCUCACCAAGGCGACGAUCAGUAGCCGGCCUGAGAGGGUGAACGGCCACAUUGGGACUGAGACACGGCCCAAACUCCUACGGGAGGCAGCAGUGGGGAAUCUUCCGCAAUGGGCGAAAGCCUGACGGAGCAAUGCCGCGUGAGUGAAGAAGGCCUUCGGGUUGUAAAACUCUGUCCUUAUCGAAGAGAGAGUGUUGUAGUAACUGACAAUACUAGGACGGUAGAUGAGGAGGAAGCCCCGGCUAACUAUGUGCCAGCAGCCGCGGUAAAACAUAGGGGGCAAGCGUUGUCCGGAAUCACUGGGCGUAAAGGGCGCGCAGGCGGUAAAUUAAGUCAGGUGUGAAAGUUCGGGGCUCAACCCCGUGAUUGCACCUGAUACUGAUAAACUAGAGUGUUGGAGAGGUAAGUGGAAUUCCUAGUGUAGCGGUGGAAUGCGUAGAUAUUAGGAGGAACACCAGUGGCGAAGGCGACUUACUGGCCAAUAACUGACGCUGAGGCGCGAAAGCGUGGGGAGCAAACAGGAUUAGAUACCCUGGUAGUCCACGCCGUAAACGAUGAGUGCUAGGUGUUGGGUCCUUUCCGGGACUCAGUGCCGCAGCUAACGCAUUAAGCACUCCGCCUGGGGAGUACGACCGCAAGGUUGAAACUCAAAGGAAUUGACG